rnacentral:misc_RNA from 1 species
CGCCAACGGAUUCUUACAUUUGCUGCCAAGAGGUAUGCUAGUGCAAUAGAGAGAAAUCCGGAAGACUAUGAUGCACUGUACAAUUGGGCAUUGGUUCUUCAGGAAAGUGCAGAUAAUGUUAGUCCAGAUUCUACCUCACCUUCUAAAGAUGCUUUGCUUGAGGAGGCCUGUAAAAAAUAUGAUGAAGCUACCUGCCUCUGUCCUACACUUCAUGAUGCUUUUUACAAUUGGGCUAUAGCAAUCUCUGAUCGUGCAAAAAUGCGUGGUCGUACAAAGGAGGCUGAAGAACUAUGGAAGCAGGCGACAAAAAAUUAUGAAAAAGCUGUCCAACUUAACUGGAACAGUCCCCAGGCACUUAACAAUUGGGGACUUGCUUUGCAGGAACUCAGUGCAAUUGUUCCUGCACGCGAAAAGCAAACA